AAAUCACAGCCCCUUUUCCAAUUCUGUGGGGUCUGUGUUCCCCUCUCAGCUGCUGCUAAGAGCUGGAGAAGUGGAAUCCCAAGUUGAAACUCCAGUGUGGUUCUAGUACAGAAACUGGGCAUGCUCAGUA
rnacentral:lncRNA from 1 species